UCGGUCAUUAGCCAGGCGGUCCGGUGGUACUUCCGGUUCCAGUUCAGCCUGCGCGAUAUCGAGGAGGUGCUGUUCGAGCGCGGCGUGACCGUG
rnacentral:tRNA from 1 species